CAGCUUUCUGGUACUGUUGUCAAACAUCAACAGAAGGAAAGUGCUUUCACUUCUGAGUGAUAUCGAUGUUUGAAAGAUCUUGUUGGAAGGAGCAGUUAUGAGGAGAACAUACAGUCCCCUCUGAAAGUAUUGGAACAGCAAGAUGUUACAAGUUUAAAAACGGACAACUUCCUUUACAACUUCUCACUGUAUCAAACCUGGACUGUACUCAAGCCCUUGUUCAGGGGGAAUGUGUGAAAUGCUACACUGACUGUCACCUGAACUCAGGAUUGAAUUGGGGACCCUGGAGCACUGAAGUGGCAACACUACUAGCUGUGCCACCAUGUUACCCAAGGACGCGUUAUCCUAAUGGGCUUCAUGGGCAGCUGCCCGGGGCCUCGGAGGUAGCGAGAUCGGAAAAUAUGAAACGAUAUUUUCAGAAGUUUUGAUCAUAUUGAUAACAUUUUUGAUGCAUUUCGCCACCCGUAAGGAAGCCCACCUUGUCCCGUCGCAUAAAUCACCCGUCAUUGUCCAUAUGAUCACUGUCCACCAUGUCUUCACACGCUACGCCAGCUUGAGUUCAAUGAUUUAAUUAAUGACUUCGCUUUCCAGAAAAGUAGGAAAGUGCCCUUGUAAGUUGACCCAUGGCUGUCAAACUGAAUGCGCAAAGCUGUGUGCCACUGCUGUUUGGGACAUUACGUGUGUGAAAGGAUGAAAUGUUUCACAUAGCCUAACAUUUUGAGAUUUAUUUCUGAGAAGCAAGAUAUUUUUCUUUCUUUGUUAUCGCUCUUUGUUUUCAC